rnacentral:rRNA from 1 species
GACGAACGCUGGCGGCGUGCCUAAUACAUGCAAGUCGAACGCAGUGGGGACGGGUGCGUAACACGUGGGUAACCUCCCAUCAGAGGGGAUAACACUUGGAAACAGGUGCUAAACCGAUACUGAUGGAUGGACCCCCGGUGCAUUAGCUAGUUGGUGGGGUAACGGCUCACCAAGGCCACGCUGCAUAGCCGAGCUGAGAGGGUGAUCGGCAACACUGGGACUGAGACACGGCCCAGACUACUACGGGAGGCAGCAGUAGGGAAGAUUAGGCAAUGGACGAAAGUCUGAACGAGCAAAGACGCGUGAGUGAAGAAGGUUUGAGGAUCGUAAAACUCUGUUGUUAGAGAAGCGGGAUCUAACAAGAAAGCCACGGCUAACUACGUGCCAGCAGCCGCGGUAAUGC